UGGGAUGUAAGUUAAAUAUUUUCAAGGUCUACAAGAUAUAUUUCCCCAUGGAGGAAGAGAAUUUUGACUCUUUGAAAGCAAGCCCUUCCAAGGACUGUUCCUAAGUUGAUUCAGAGUUCAUAUAUUCAUAUGUGUGUAUGAAUAUAAAUGCAUAAUUUGCAAAUCAUUCCUUUACAAAGCCUAUAUUUUGGGGACUAACAGACCAGCAUACAUUGAGCUAUAUUCAGCUGCAGUGCAACAAGGCUGUUACAGAAGACCAGCAUCUGUGUUUUGAACUUAGGAAGCUGCUGAAUCUGUGCUGGUGGGAGGGGAAGCUCCUGAAGUGCUGCUCUGCCCCGUGGCUUGCUGGGAGAGAGCUCGGCAGGACGCCUUGUAUGUGCUAGUCGAGCCCAACAUGCCCUGCAGAUGCAGGGUUCCUGUGAAGCACUGCAAUUGCAUGCUAUGCAACCCCGUGAGCUUCCCCAGCAGAGUGGAGGAGAGGCAACAGAGGGGUCACUGACACUGGUAAUUUGCGCCGUCUUUACCAGGCUGAAGGUUUUCCCAAGGAGAAGUUGGCUAGUGCACGGACCUGCUCAUUAAAUAGAUACACCAAGAAUUGUUACCUAAGCAAGCCUGACAGUAAAGAAAGGAAAGACUGAGUUAGGGAGAAAAAGGGAAGAAAAAAGCCUGAAGCAAGUCACUUCACACGCAGAAAGAGCCACUGAACGAAUACUAUUCUCAUAAACAAACUAAAAAAAAAAAUCCUUGUAUAAGAAGAGAACUGUGAGGACUUGACAGAAAAAGGCAAGAUUUUCUACACACUGUUUUCAGUUUUCCUUCCAGACAUACUUGGUGAAGUAAGGAGACUUCUCUUUGCUGACAGAGCCCUUGAUUUCUUUCAAGAUGAUGAUGUAUUUGUGGGUAGGUAGUGUCUCUCUCCAUGUCAAUCUUUUAUUAGUAAAUUGACUUUGGGACUAUAGAUUUUAGUCUGUACUUACAGCAUGUUUUCUAAUAUGUAAAGGUGUCUGUAAUGCAGGUGGCAUAGCAGGGCUAGAGUACAGUACAUGUGCUUGCAUUUCCAAUGGGAUUUUAAACAAACUGGUUCAUUAACGUUAAGCUGCAAUUUGUUUUCAGGGAUUGCAGGAUGUGGCAUAAUGCACUGCUUUCUUUUCGUUGCCUUAGAAAACGCUACGAUUGUAUCUGUAAGGUUCACUGUGGUUCAGUCAUAAAAUGAAUGCUGCAUCACUUGUGGCUGUUCAGUAUUUGCUUUCUUUGUAAGGAAAGAAACAAUCCUAACGUGAUUCAAACUUCAAAUUUGUGUUAGUUGGCCUAUGUGUGUUUAUAUUAGUUGUCACAGUCUUUCUAGUCUUUUGAAGUAUAUGGUAAUUGACAGCCACCGAUAAAUAUAUAAAAUGUACUUGUUCUUGUGAUUUUAUAUUCAGCAUUGUUCAGAUUACUCACAGCAAAAUCUGCUCACUUUAGGAAUUAAAAUAAUGUUGUGCUGUGACAUACAUCUUGUGAAUUAGUGAAACUAUUAACCUGUUAAUUAGUUCAGGUUGAGAUACAAAACAUUAUUUUGUUAAAAAAAAAAAAAAAGGUAAAUCACAGAAUGAACAUGCAUACUUGAAAAGCAUUUUGCCAUUCCUCUUCAAAGCCUGUACAUCUUCUGGGAAAAUAUUUUAAACUAAUCUUAUUUGACAAGCUAUUUAUUUAUUUAUCUUAAUCGUAUACAAAAACAGACAGCCUUUCAGCUAGUCUGAGCCACCUCUGCAAAACAGGCUAUGUAUGAGCAACAUUUAAGUCUUAGAGAUAUUAUCAAUAAAUCACUACUUCUCUUUCA
rnacentral:lncRNA from 1 species